UACGUAGGUGACAAGCGUUGUCCGGAUUUACUGGGCGUAAAGAGCGCGCAGGCGGUCGAUCAAGUCGAGUGUGAAAGCCCCCCGGCUCAACUGGGGAGGGUCAUUCGAUACUGAUCGACUCGAAGGCAGGAGAGGGUAGUGGAAUUCCCGGUGUAGUGGUGAAAUGCGUAGAUAUCGGAAGGAACAUCAGUGGCGAAAGCGACUUCCUGGACCAAUACUGACGCUCAUGUGCGAAAGCGUGGGGAGCAAACAGG
rnacentral:rRNA from 1 species